rnacentral:rRNA from 1 species
AAGUCGAACGUGAAAGCACUUCGGUGUGAGCAGAGUGGCGGACGGGUGAGUAACGCGUGGGAAUCUGCCCAGUAGUGGGGGACAACUACCGGAAACGGUAGCUAAUACCGCAUACGCCCUAUGGGGGAAAGGCUUCGGCCGCUAUUGGAUGAGCCCGCGUCAGAUUAGCUAGUUGGUAGGGUAAAGGCCUACCAAGGCAACGAUCUGUAGCUGGUCUGAGAGGACGAACAGCCACACUGGGACUGAGACACGGCCCAGACUCCUACGGGAGGCAGCAGUGGGGAAUAUUGGACAAUGGGCGAAAGCCUGAUCCAGCAAUGCCGCGUGUGUGAAGAAGGCCUGCGGGUUGUAAAGCACUUUCAGUUGGGAAGAUGAUGACGUUACCAACAGAAGAAGCACCGGCUAAAUCCGUGCCAGCAGCCGCGGUAAUACGGAUGGUGCGAGCGUUAAUCGGAAUUACUGGGCGUAAAGCGCGCGUAGGCGGCUAAGUCAGUCAGAAGUGAAAGCCCCGGGCUCAACCUUGGAAUUGCUUUUGAUACUGCUUGGCUAGAGUUUGGUAGAGGAUAGUGGAAUUCCAGGUGUAGCGGUGAAAUGCGUAGAUAUCUGGAGGAACAUCAGUGGCGAAGGCGACUGUCUGGACCAAAACUGACGCUGAGGUGCGAAAGCGUGGGUAGCAAACAGGAUUAGAUACCCUGGUAGUCCACGCCGUAAACGAUGUCAACUAGCCGUCGGGUCUAUUUACAGACUUGGUGGCGCAGCUAACGCGAUAAGUUGACCGCCUGGGGAGUACGGCCGCAAGGUUAAAACUCAAAUGAAUUGACGGGGGCCCGCACAAGCGGUGGAGCAUGUGGUUUAGUUCGAAGC